UACGUAGGUGACAAGCGUUGUCCGGAUUUACUGGGCGUAAAGAGCGCGCAGGCGGUCGAUCAAGUCGAGUGUGAAAGCCCCCGGCUCAACUGGGGAGGGUCAUUCGAUACUGAUCGACUCGAAGGCAGGAGAGGGUAGUGGAAUUCCCGGUGUAGUGGUGAAAUGCGCAGAUAUCAGGAGGAACACCGGUGGCGAAGGCGGUUCUCUGGGCAUUACCUGACGCUGAGGAGCGAAAGCAUGGGGAGCGAACAGG
rnacentral:rRNA from 1 species